AAAACAAAAACCAAAAAAAAAAAAUAGAAGGAAGGAGGAAGGAACCUCAUCCAGACCCUGUUAUAUCAUCUCUUUUUAUUUAUAAAAUCUAAGUUAAUAUCUUUACGUUGAAACUAUAAUUUUUGCCCCUCAUGAUAAAUGAAAACUAGUGACGAUUUGUCUCAUUUAGAGCAAUUUAUAUAGAAAUAAGAAGAUAAGGUAUGAUUGACAAUGAC
rnacentral:lncRNA from 1 species